UUUCGCUCAAAUAAUUAAUUAAGUUAACUAUCCCUUGUAAACUAAUAUUGUUUUCCCUUUUGUUUUCUUGGGGUUAUUCCCAAUCGACAUCAUUUCUUCUUCUUCUUCGACCUUUAUGCAAGAUUGUCUCAAAUUUCAAUCAAGAAUUAGAUUGGUGAGGUUAUCCGAUAAAAGGGAGAUUACGGAUCUUUAUUUAGUUUUCUGAGUUUUGGGAAUGAAAAAGAUGUGAUUUUCCCCAAAGGAGGAGGUUGCAGAUGCUCGAUCAGAUUAGCCUAGUCGGCAUUAAUCAAAGUACAACCAGUUCCAAGCCAGAGAAGAUAGCCCUGAAGUUCCAUUGCAAAAUUAGAUGAGGAAGUGCAGCUCGCACUUUUCGCACUAUGCUCACUCUAAGGCUCUGGAGAUAAUCAAGUUAUCAAAGCAGAUUAAAGAGAAGUUUGAAGAGGUUGAUAGAUUGGGUAUUUCUAUUCUUUCUGGAUUUAUUGUGUUGCUUCUAUGUCUGUUAUGAGUACAAUUUCUUCUUUAUUAUUAUUAUGUGCUACGAUUUCAUAUUGUGAUUCAACCAAUAUGUAACAUUAUGUCCCCUUAACACACACUAGAUUGGUAUCUCUACCAUGACUAGUCUGUGUACGUUUCCAAGGUGGGCUAACUAAUCAUGCACCAGAAACUACAUCGUUGUUCAUAGUUGUUGAAAUUGAAUUAAGUAAACUAUAAAUGUAUGAUUUGGUUAUGUUACAUGGUAUUAUCAUACGUACUUGAUUUGUUCUGCUAUUUUUUUAUAAGGUAACUCUCACUAUUGUAUCACAUGUUAAUAGCCAAAUCAAAGGGAGUCCAUGAUACCUUUUGUCUUAUAGGUCCAUAUAUGCACAUUUUUAACUUUUUCUCAUUCUUUUGAGUUUUGUUUAUGGGGUUGAUAUAUUCUUAUAAUUGAAAAUAUGUUUUAGUUCAUACAGUUCUCUCGACCAUUGCCCUAGGAACGUGAUAAACUAACCUCCUUGCAGCAGUUGAGACAUGAAGGCACAUUGCUUGAAGGACCAAUUUGUUGCCAUGAAGGUUGAUUUAAAGAACACAUAGCAUGUAGCAACAACUAACUAAGAGAGCAUGUUUGAAUAUAUUGCCUUAACAAUUACAUGAAUGGAGUAGCCAUUUCUAUUGUGAACCUUGUAAGUAGGAUGUUUUGUUAUGGUUUGAUCAAGGUUCUACAAAGCGCUAGGCGGUAUGUAAGCGGAUAGCCACCUCCUAGCGCCUAGACGGUUAGGCGGCCUCCUAGGCGGUUUUGAAUUAUUAAAUAUUUAUUUA